UAGUAGUUGCAAGGCCUGUGAGUCUGGAGAAGAGAGAAAUUUCCCCUGGAGAGACACUGAUGUCACUUCCUGUAUGAAUGGCUACAACUUCCUGUUUUCCAAAUACCUGUUUGGAAAUGUAAAGAUCCUAUUAGCCUCGUAUGUUUGUUCUCGCCGGCUCACACAAUCCAGGGACCCACAAGGGAAACUGACUCCCAUGAAACCCUACUCCUACAUGAUAUAAGUAACCAUUAUUUACAAUUGGGAAAAAAAGGAUUUUCAGAAGGGUCGGAAUGAGCUGAUGGGGCACCUGGAGACAACCUGGUGGGCCCAUCGGCCCAGCACCACUACCUCGCCAGGAUCUGUGGGCCCCUGAUCAUAUUAGAGUGAAGGAGAGAGGAGGUAGGUGGAAACUUGCACAGGGUGUUGUGGGGGAGUUUGUGACUGGGGUGAGGGUGGUGGGCCAUGGACACCUCCGACUGACACUAUUUUCCAUCAUUAUUUAGUGAUUUAUUAUUAAUUAUUGUAGAUAUAAUGGUUAAAAUUACAUUUUCGUCACUUUUUAAUGGUCUAAUGAUAGAAUUGUGGGAAGUGGGGACAUGUUUUGAGAAACCAGAAUUGUAAGAUAUGGGGCAAUUAUCUAAUCUAAUGUAAUAAGCCAAGAGAAUAUAUGUACAUUUGUGUUUGUUUGUGGGGACUCCAAAGAAUUUUUCAUAAGAAUGCACUCUGAUACCAUAGAAAACAUUCCAAAUAUCAAUGCUAGGUUGGCCAGUGGCAGAACUGGCAUUUCAUUGGGGGUUACUGGUGAGCCUACAACACAAUGAAUUUGGCAGUUAUUAUUACAGGUUGUGUUUGUUAUUAAAUGCAAAGCAAUGUCCAAUAAUGCAGCACAAAAUAAGACACUCCUCCAUAAAGUCCCAUGGCCUCGCUAGAACUGUUUUUAUUACCUAUUCUUUCAUUAUGCACUCCAUAUAGCACAAUAUAAAAGCAAGUGGGAGAAGAAAGAGGUCAGUGCAAAGGAGCCCAAACUUGGGAGCGUGUGAUUGAGGAUGAUUAAUGGUUUAGUUGUGUGCUUCAGAUGCAAGUACUUUAGAGAGAAGCAGUCGUUAAUGUGUGAUGGUGCAGUGUGCAUACUGAAGAAGCUUGGUGGAAAUAAAUCUCCCACUCUGAUUGCCUACCAUUAGAUGGGGCAUGGACUGUGUGUGUGUAAAUAGACUGGGCUUGCUUGGAAUAUCACAGCAUAUGCAAUGGUUUAGGGACAACUGCCAUCAAUCUUAGGGCUCCAAUGGUGAAUUGUUAUUCCUGAAAUGUCAUUUCAUUUAUUGCAACUAGUAUGAGCAAUUCCAAACCUGUUUGUAAUACAUCUGCCUCUAGGAAAUGUGACACUGUUUCUAAUAAGGAUUCAGGCAUACCUUGAUAAUUACAUACAGUGCUUUGCUAUUUCUAAAUUAUUACCCUGGUGCAAUUUAGCAUGUGUUAAUAAACCAGCCCUACUGUUGGACCUACACACCUAUUCUCUGUUGUUACUGCUUUAAAAUGCUGUGGGCAUAUUCCGUUUGUGCUAUGUACCCAUUCCCCAACAGGGUAUUGACUAAGGUGUACAUAACAAUGGAAAACCUUUGCAAUCUUCUCUUUGUAAUGAACAUGAUUUUUAUUUUUAAUAAGUGUUAGAUGAAAGCAGCUUUAUUACUCAAGAAACAAGAUACAGCUUGUUCUUUGAUAAAUAAGAGUGAUUUUUGUUUUUAUAGAGAAAUGUAACUUGCUCUUAUUGUAACAUGCAUUUAGUAAUGUACACUC